UCGGUGUACAGGUGGUGCAUGGUUGUCGUCAGCUCGUGUCGUGAGAUGUUGGGUUAAGUCCCCGCAACGAGCGCAACCCUCGUCCUAUGUUGCCAGCGGGUCAUGCCGGGGACUCAUGGGAGACUGCCGGGGUCAACUCGGAGGAAGUGGGGAUGACGUCAAAUCAUCAUGCCCCUUAUGUCUUGGGCUUCACGCAUGCUACAAUGGCCGGUACAAAGGGCUGCGAUACCGCGAGGUGGAGCGAAUCCCAGAAAGCCGGUCUCAGUUCGGAUUGGGGUCUGCAACUCGACCCCAUGAAGUCGGAGUCGCUAGUAAUCGCGGAUCAGCAACGCUCGCGGUCCGAAUACGUUCCGGCCUU
rnacentral:rRNA from 1 species